AGGGAUGUUGCUCUAUCUGCUCCUCCUCGCUGGAUGUGUCUCUCGCAGCUCUACUGACCCAGCUAUAGUCAAUGUGCUGCAGAACACAAAGGCUACUCUUCCCUGUCCUCAUAAGAAGGGGGAUGUAACAUGGAGCCGCUACAGAAAUGGUGACCUUGUGAUUCUGGUUACUAUCACAAAUGGCGAGGAGAAAAGAUCUGACAAACGCUACAGUUCUCUGGCAGACAACUCCCUGAACGGAGAGAAGAACUCGCAACAACAACUUGGACAAAAGUGUAGCCGACGAGACGAUUUAUGAGGAGAUGAAACCCUACGAGAAGCAGCCAAGAGGGAGGGACUCCAUACAACUGGACGAGCAUCAGUGAACCAAAGAGCACCUCCACGCCACCCAGUAAUAAUCUGAACAGCGCUGUUAAAAAGCCAAUAAUGAAUUAACCCUUUGUGACCAUGAACUUGUUUUCCUUCUGGGGACAGAAAAUUGAAAAUGAAC